rnacentral:sRNA from 1 species
UCCAGGUGUGGUGGUGCACACCUGUAAUCCCAGCAGCUUGGGAGGCUGAGGCAGGAGGAUUGUAAGUUCAAAGCCAGCCUCAGCAACAGCGAGGUGCUAAGCAGCUCUGAGACCCUGUUUCUA